AAAUUGAAGAGUUUGAUCAUGGCUCAGAUUGAACGCUGGCGGCAGGCCUAACACAUGCAAGUCGAACGGUAACAGGAAACAGCUUGCUGUUUCGCUGACGAGUGGCGGACGGGUGAGUAAUGUCUGGGAAACUGCCUGAUGGAGGGGGAUAACUACUGGAAACGGUAGCUAAUACCGCAUAACGUCGCAAGACCAAAGAGGGGGACCUUAGGGCCUCUUGCCAUCGGAUGUGCCCAGAUGGGAUUAGCUAGUAGGUGGGGUAAAGGCUCACCUAGGCGACGAUCCCUAGCUGGUCUGAGAGGAUGACCAGCCACACUGGAACUGAGACACGGUCCAGACUCCUACGGGAGGCAGCAGUGGGGAAUAUUGCACAAUGGGCGCAAGCCUGAUGCAGCCAUGCCGCGUGUAUGAAGAAGGCCUUCGGGUUGUAAAGUACUUUCAGCGGGGAGGAAGGGAGUAAAGUUAAUACCUUUGCUCAUUGACGUUACCCGCAGAAGAAGCACCGGCUAACUCCGUGCCAGCAGCCGCGGUAAUACGGAGGGUGCAAGCGUUAAUCGGAAUUACUGGGCGUAAAGCGCACGCAGGCGGUUUGUUAAGUCAGAUGUGAAAUCCCCGGGCUCAACCUGGGAACUGCAUCUGAUACUGGCAAGCUUGAGUCUCGUAGAGGGGGGUAGAAUUCCAGGUGUAGCGGUGAAAUGCGUAGAGAUCUGGAGGAAUACCGGUGGCGAAGGCGGCCCCCUGGACGAAGACUGACGCUCAGGUGCGAAAGCGUGGGGAGCAAACAGGAUUAGAUACCCUGGUAGUCCACGCCGUAAACGAUGUCGACUUGGAGGUUGUGCCCUUGAGGCGUGGCUUCCGGAGCUAACGCGUUAAGUCGACCGCCUGGGGAGUACGGCCGCAAGGUUAAAACUCAAAUGAAUUGACGGGGGCCCGCACAAGCGGUGGAGCAUGUGGUUUAAUUCGAUGCAACGCGAAGAACCUUACCUGGUCUUGACAUCCACGGAAGUUUUCAGAGAUGAGAAUGUGCCUUCGGGAACCGUGAGACAGGUGCUGCAUGGCUGUCGUCAGCUCGUGUUGUGAAAUGUUGGGUUAAGUCCCGCAACGAGCGCAACCCUUAUCCUUUGUUGCCAGCGGUCCGGCCGGGAACUCAAAGGAGACUGCCAGUGAUAAACUGGAGGAAGGUGGGGAUGACGUCAAGUCAUCAUGGCCCUUACGACCAGGGCUACACACGUGCUACAAUGGCGCAUACAAAGAGAAGCGACCUCGCGAGAGCAAGCGGACCUCAUAAAGUGCGUCGUAGUCCGGAUUGGAGUCUGCAACUCGACUCCAUGAAGUCGGAAUCGCUAGUAAUCGUGGAUCAGAAUGCCACGGUGAAUACGUUCCCGGGCCUUGUACACACCGCCCGUCACACCAUGGGAGUGGGUUGCAAAAGAAGUAGGUAGCUUAACCUUCGGGAGGGCGCUUACCACUUUGUGAUUCAUGACUGGGGUGAAGUCGUAACAAGGUAACCGUAGGGGAACCUGCGGUUGGAUCACCUCCUUA
rnacentral:rRNA from 4 species